GCAGACGACCAUAAGGGUGUCGCCUUUCGUGAUGGGCUUGACCUCGCCAAGCUUGAUAGUUUUUCCAACCUCGGCCGCGAAAGCCUUGCUUCCUGUCACCAUGGUAAUCUCUACAGGGCCAAGGGUGGAGGUGACGAACUCGGCCAUUUCUUCCAUGGAAGCCACACACUUCAUCUUCCCCCCAGCAUUGUCAUUGCAGAGUUCCAGAGUGAAGGCCAUCUUUCUUGCCAGUGGAGACUCCUUUGGGACGUUAAACUCUUUCAAGUAAGAGUCAAGGCUCCGCUUACCGAAGUUUGUGUGCUUAGCCAUUGCGUUUGGCAGGAGUGCCCGUGGAGGAUAAGUGUCACGGAUGUUUGGGAGGACACUUUCAGUUCCUGUCAAGAUUUUCCACAAGUACGAGUAAAUAAGUUUGCAAAAGGAAUGUUUGGACUUACCGUUUCUCUGUCGGAGUUCUUCCAGUGUGAAGAAGUGAUGGAGCAUUCCAGGGGAGCAUUUCGCUAUUAAGGCUUUGAUGGUUGGCCAGUCCAUAGAGUGCAGUGACUUCCUUCCUCCAUAACCCUCUUCCUCGUACUCAGUAAAAAUCUGGAUCAAAUACAGCGGCAUGUUCUUCUUGCAACUAGUGCUUGGUUUGACAGAAGCAUCGCCAAAGUGAGCAUUUCCUCCUAAUCCGUGGUCACCAAAGUGAGCAUUUCCACCUAGAGAAGCAUCACCAAAGUGAGCAUUUACGCCUAAACCAUGGUCUUUGAAGUCCCCAAAGUGAGCAUUGCCACCCAAACUUUGGUCUUUGAAGUCACCAAAGUGAGCAUUACCACCCAAACCAUGAUCUUUGAAAUCGCCGAAGUGCGCGUUGCCACCCAAACCAUGGUCUUUGAAGUCCCCAAAAUGAGCAUUGCCACCCAAACUUUGGUCUUUGAAGUCACCAAAGUGAGCAUUACCACCCAAACCAUGAUCUUUGAAGUCACCAAAGUGAGCAUUACCACCCAAACCAUGAUCUUUGAAAUCGCCGAAGUGCGCGUUGCCACCCAAACCAUGGUCUUUGAAGUCCCCAAAAUGAGCAUUGCCACCCAAACUUUGGUCUUUGAAGUCACCAAAGUGAGCAUUACCACCCAAACCAUGAUCUUUGAAAUCGCCGAAGUGCGCGUUGCCACCCAAACCAUGGUCUUUGAAAUCGCCAAAAUGGGCGUUGCCACCCAAUGACCCAUGGUCUUUGAAAUCGCCAAAGUGGGCAUUGCCACCCAAGUCAUGGUCUUUGAAGUCGCCGAAGUGUGCAUCUCCACCCAAUGAUCCGUGGUCUUUGAAGUCACCAAAGUGCGUAUUUCCACCCAAUCCAGUGUCACCAAAGUGAGCAUUUCCGCCAAGCCCGUGAUCCUUACGAAAGUCACCAAAGUGAGCGUUUCCACCCAGAGCUCCAUGAUCUUUGAAGUCACCAAAGUGUGCAUUGCCGCCAAGAUCUCUGGCUUCCAGCGAGCGUACACGGUCAUGGAAGUCACCAAAGUGAGCAUUCCCUCCGAGCUUGCUUGCUGCAAGGGCGGUCUUCUCUGCAGCAUCGCCAAAGUGGGCAUUGCCUCCAUGCCUUCCGUAAGGAUGACAAAAAAGUCCUGCACGGUGGCAAAGCUUUGCAUCGGCCGUGAAAACGCCUCUUCUCAUCUGCUCGCCGAAGCGAGCCGAUUCGAAUGCCCCCAGAGGCGAGGCUUCAUCGGCGAAACUCGUGGAGAUUAUGUCACUGCAUUCGGAAAGCUGCCAAACAGGAAUCCCCAGCUUUAAUAACGAUUGAACGAUAUAAGUUGGAAAGAACUACUUACAAGGAGAGACGAGAAGAGAAGAGAUAGGCCGAGCGCAAGGCGAUCCAUGGUCUUGCGAUGGGGCUGGAAGCCAGAAUUUAUUGAUCGUAGUCUCACUGUGCAAGUAAAGAGACAGAUAUCUUUCAAGCCUCCGUGGCUUUAACUCUUUUGUCCGGGAGCGUGAAUUAUAGAGGAAGAAUUCAAUUUAGAAUUGCAUGUUGAAACUUUUGCUAAAACUCUUUAUAAUUGCAUUGAUUAAUUGAUCGAUUUUGGAGAUAAGGACCCGCACCAACUUUCGGGCCGGACGAAUUCUCGCAGAAUUUUCAAGAUAAUUAUUUAAUCUAAUUAAUUUGUAUUAAGGUUGGGACUACUUCUUCUUCCGCAAUUGAUCCAUUACCAGCACUGGCUGAUAUUGCCAAGGUAAAAAUACAUUUUCUAGUUAUUGAAUGUUUUAUUAAUUUCCAAGAGACGGGAAUGUGGGAUGUGGUUCCAUGUUGAUGCAGCUUAUGCUGGUAAUGCCUGCAUUUGUCCAGAAUUUCGACAUUUUUUAAAUGGUGUUGAAAAUGCCCACUCUUUUAAUCUAAGUGCAAAUAAGUGGCUUCUUACCAAUAUUGACUGUUCCAUACUUUGGCUGAAGGUUUGAUCUUUUACAAACGUUACAAUCAAUUUUUAAUAUACUCUUACAGGACUCUAAGCAGCUAUCUUCGACACUUUCAACAUUAACAAACAUACAGGUAUGAGUUCUUAAAUCUACUCUUUUUCAUAGUUCAAUUCAGUCUCGGGUGGUAAAUUUCAAAGAUGGCAAGUUGCUCAAGGAAGACGAUUUAGGUAAGUGCGAAUAAUUCUUUUUCCUUUGACAUGGGAUACUCUUUUCCAAUCUUUAAAGCUGUGGUUUGUGAUGCGCUUGUAUGGAGCCUCGGGACUUCGUAGCCACAUAAGAACUCACAUAAACCAUGCUAAGCAUUUCGAGAUCCUUGUGCCAGAGGACUCUCGCUUUGAGGUAUAACUCGUGAGAGUUCUCUAAAAUUGUGAGACCAUGAUCUACGUUUGUGAGUUGCCAGUCUUAGCACCAUGUCGAUUUGGUCUCGUUUGCUUCAGGCUCAAACCAAGUGUAAAACAGUAAGGGCCAACAGCGUCGAGCGCCGUCAGGUGGUCGAAGAUUGGAAUAGACACUCGGAGAGAUCUCUGUGAAGAUAACGGAUGGAAACUGAACUGUUUGCUUCUGGAAACUGUUAACUCUGGGGGAAAGAUUUUCAUGACACACACUGUAAGAAGCUCUCAAGCUAUAGUGAAAUGGGACUAUAACCGAUUUAUCCUCAGGUACUCUCGGGCGUGUAUACAUUGAAUGUCAAUUGGUGGCACGCAGACUAAACGUGAAAAUGUUGAUGGUGCGUGGAAGAUAAUCCGCACAAAACUUGUUAGAUCAAGAUUAAUAAGACCAGGUUAUAAUAUCAAGAUAAUAUCCUUGUGCAUUUAAGAAUAAUAAUUAACUAAGAAAACCUAGCUUUUAAAAUGGUGAAAAUCCACGUGUGAGAAAGGGGCGAGUCUCGGAAGAGUUCUAGAUGUGGUGACUAGGUAUGUUUUUCUCUUUUCCUUUGUAUCCGUUCCAGGUACUAGGGUCGCCAGGCAGCAGCAUUGCCCGAGCAAGAGGGCUGUAGAAAGAUCGGGGAUCAAGCAGCCAAAGAAAAACUAUAACCAGGCUAUAUUUCUCAAGAUUGUCUCCCAGGAUCGCCAGGAGCUUUUCAGGAAGCAAUGCGGAGAGCCCAUCAUCAAGAAAUCCAUUGAGAAGAGGGAAUUUUUGCUAGGAAACCAUUUGAACUGGAGAACACACAUAACUGUGGUUUUUGCUGGCGCGGUUUUGCUUGCAACACCUGCGUUUGCGGCCGAUGCUCUCAAGACAUGUUCCUGUCUUCUCAAAGAAUGCUGGUAAUUUUAUUCUUCUCUUUUGUCCUUCAAGAAAGAUGAGUUUUUUUUUUCUUCCCUAGAUUGGAGCCUGCUUGAUGUAUUGCAGAUCCUUCGUGUGGUGCCAAUGUUGCGUGCUUGCAAACUUGUAAUGAUUGACCUAACAAGACUGAGUGCCAAGUAAGUCUCUAGAUUUUGUGUAAAACUUCUUUUGGAUUGAUCGACCAUUGUGAUUCACAAAUACUUUCAGAUAAAAUGCAGAAACAUUUUCGAAAACAAGGUGGUGGAUAAUUGAGUGGUGAAAAUGCAGAGACAUUUUCAAGAACAAGGUGGUGGACGAAUUCAACGAUUGUGCAGUGAGCUGCAAGAGCUGCAUCCCGCAGAAGAAAGACGAGUGGCAUUUCCGAGUCCCGCCACCCUCGGCACUUGUCCAGAGCUUCAACACCACGAAGUUUACUGGGAAAUGGUUCAUCUCCAAAUGUGUUUAAAAUAAUGAAGUUGUUUAAUAUUUAAAAUAUUUAUUUACAACUUAUCAAGACGUUAAAAAAAAAGUAAUAUAAUUUCAAAUAUUUUUUGUUGUUAACCCCAAAGCCAAUAAGUAUUAUUAUUAUUACAAUCAAGCAUAAACAGUGGCAAUGGGAACGAACAUAAUGACCGUUUCCACAAACCAGUGACAAACAUAAGUCUUGCCCAUCUUGUGGCACAGCACAUUUGGAGUGAGCUCCAUCCCACUGCUGGUCUUCACAUUUACUUUGGAAGCGCUGGUGCUACUCACCUUGUGACAGAAGUAGACUUUGUAUGGAAACAUAGUUGUGUGGCAGACGACCAUAAGAGUGUCGCCUUUCGUGAUGGGCUUGACCUCGCCAAGCUUGAUAGUUUUUCCAACCUCGGCCGCGAAAGCCUUGCUUCCUGUCACCAUGGUAAUCUCUACAGGGCCAAGGGUGGAGGUGACGAACUCGGCCAUUUCUUCCAUGGAAGCCACACACUUCAUCUUCCCCCCAGCAUUGUCAUUGCAGAGUUCCAGAGUGAAAGCCAUUUUUCUUGCCAGUGGAGACUCCUUUGGGACGUUAAACUCUUUCAAGUAAGAGUCAAGGCUCCGCUUACCGAAGUUUGUGUGCUUAGCCAUUGCACUUGGCAGGAGUGCCCGUGGAGGAUAAGUGUCACGGAUGUUUGGGAGGACACUUUCAGUUCCUGUCAAGAUUUUCCACAAGUACGAGUAAAUAAGUUUGCAAAAGGAAUGUUUGGACUUACCGUUUCUCUGUCGGAGUUCUUCCAGUGUGAAGAAGUGAUGGAGCAUUCCAGGGGAGCAUUUCGCUAUUAAGGCUUUGAUGGUUGGCCAGUCCAUAGAGUGCAGUGACUUCCUUCCUCCAUAACCCUCUUCCUCGUACUCA
rnacentral:lncRNA from 1 species